AUUGAACGCUAGCGGCAUGCUUUACACAUGCAAGUCGAGCGGAGUGGCGGAAGGGUGAGUAAUAUAUCGGAACGUGCCCAGUAGCGGGGGAAAACUACUAGAAAGAGUGGCUAAUACCGCAUACUAUUGGAGAGGCCGAUAUCGGAUUAGCUAUUUGGUGGGUGAAAGGCUCACCAAGGCAACGAUCCGUAGUUGGCUAGAGAGGAUGACCAGCCACACUGGGACUGAGACACGGCCCAGACUCCUACGUGAGUCAGCAGUGGGGAAUUUUGGACAAUGGGGGAAACCCUGAUGCAGCCAUCCCGCGUGUAUGAUGAAGGCCUUCGGGUUGUAAAGUACUUUAGGCAGAGAAGCGGUAUCUGCAGAAUAAGCACCGGCUAACUACGUGCCAGCAGCCGCGGUAAUAC
rnacentral:rRNA from 1 species